AUUCUCUUUCUGUACAGUCAUAUUUUUCAGAUAUGUGAUUCUGAGUUAAAUAUACUCAGUGUGGAUGCUAGCCAUGGUGGGGCAACACAUGACUCAUUUAUUUGGAAUCACCAUCCAUUAAAAUCACAUCUAGAGAAUCUACAUCAAGUCCAAAAUGAUACUUUAUGGUUCUUAGGUGAUUCAGGUUAUGCCCUACGCCCUACCAUGAUGACACCAAUUCUAAACACAGAGCCUGAUUCUCCACAAAGGUAUUACACUGAUCUACAUUGUCGAGCUCGCAAUACUGUGGAGAGGUGCAUCGGGCUACUUAAAUCUCGCUGGCGCUGUCUUUUGGUGGAUCGCAAGUUGCAUUACCAUCCUACAACAGCUGGAUUAAUUGUGAAUGCUUGUGUAGUUUUACACAAUAUUUGUAAUGCAGCUAGAAUGCCUGUCACACCACUAACACCACAGGAGGAAGAAAAUGAAAUCAACAUGCAAAUAAGUCCAGAAACACCAGCGAGAUUGCCAGCGAGGAGAGAUCACUUAGCUGCCGGAGAAU